rnacentral:tRNA from 1 species
GACCGCCGUCGGGCACGGCGAAGCCGGCGGCGUUGUGGCCGCCGCAGCGCACGCCGAUCUCCAGGUCCAGUUCCCGGGCCAGCCGC